ensembl:Y_RNA Y_RNA Y RNA
GACUAGUCCAAUUGCAGUAGUGUUUAAAACCUAUUGGUCACAACCAGUUAGGGAUUUCUGUUUUUCCUUCACUACUCCCAUUGCUUAAAUUGACUAGCCUAAA